AGUGACGAUAGCCUAGGAGAUACACCUGUUCCCAUGCCGAACACAGAAGUUAAGCCCUAGUACGCCUGAUGUAGUUGGGGGUUGCCCCCUGUUAGAUACGGUAGUCGCUUAGCA
rnacentral:rRNA from 1 species